rnacentral:lncRNA from 1 species
UGGCCAAAGAAGAGGAUUUCAUAAGCUUGCUUGAGUGGCCCAUUUUUCUGUUGAAAGUUUCGCCGGAGAAGACCACCGAAAUAUCUGAUAUAGUUACACACAUAUAUACAAAUACUUUGUAGAUACUGAUAGCGCUACAUUCGAUUUCAAACUAUCAAUCACAACCUUCAUAUUUUUCUCAUAAUCCAACUCGCCACCACCGAUUCUCCACACGAACCCCCACCCACUGCCACCAAACCAAAGACCAGGAAGCCAAGUGUACAACGAGACAUGGCAGGCCUCCAUUGCCUCUUCAUUGUCCUCUGCAUUAAGGUGGGAGAUUAGGAAAGAAAUUAAUAAUGAUAAAGAAAAAUAAAAACGAGAAGGAAUAGGAAAACAUUCUCUUGCUAAACGAAAAUCAGUGAAUCUUCACCCCCAAACAGUGAGCACCUGCAGUAACCAGCUUUUUUUCUUGGGUUCUUGAAAAUUUGGGUAUGAGAAAAGUGAAAAAUAAUUUAGAACUUCUUUGCCGUCAAGCUUUGUCUAUUUCCUAUUUUGCAGUAAUUUAGGAAACUGAUUUUCAGUUACAUAUUAGAGUGACAUUUUUGGGGCUUGGGGGAUGAGGAGAUUGGGAAGAAGGCGGGGUUAACAUCGUCUUCUGAUACAGGGAGAAGAAAGGGGGCGGGGGAGAAGGGGGAUAAUCUAGCUUUGUU